GUCUGAAAAGCAGCCAAUGUGGACUGUCUGUGUGCAGCAGAUGGACUGGGAGAAAUGCCUGCAAAAGACUCCGGAGAGGCAAGGAGAGCCUUAAGACUGGGAUGCAGGGCUGGCGCCUGAGAAUGGAGAAGGGGAAGUGAGGAGUGUUGGUAGAAAGAGCUCCAAAUCUGGGCACAGCUCAGAGGAAGCCUCAGCCAGGCGGAUGGGGAGUCCUCAGGCCAAAGACACCUGUCAGAGGAAUGGGUUGCACUGAUGAUUUUUGAUAGGAACGACCCAGGAGAACUGUGGUUUUGGUGGAAUACGGGAGUGGCCGCAGAAAGGAGGCAGCUGAGCUGGCGGUCCACUGUGCUUGGGCAGCAGGCGAUCUGAGUGGCCCGCUGAUGACACUCACACCAGAGGCCCGUCUGUGCUGAAGCAAAUCAGUGCCAGCACUGGUGGCCAUUGGCAUCGGUCGAAGGGUGUGUCUGUGUGGUCUCAGCCAGGUGCCCACAGAAGCCAACCUUGAGAUGAGGAUUCAAGGGCACAUGCAUGCUUUGAGGAGGUUACGUCCAUGAAACUCCAGUAGGUGAAUAGGAUAGUGAGAAAGGAGAAGAAAACAGACAGUGAAGGGGCAUAUGAGAGCGAGCUGCCACCGUGGGCAACUGGAGCCAGUCCUGUGGGAGCUCCAGAAACUACAGGGCAUGGGCAUAUCUGGAGGUUUUCCAGCUGAGGGGCAAGGGAGCUGCAGUCUUCACCAGCCAUCUCCUAGUCGCAGCUCCCGGGCUGCCUGAGUGGCUGUGGAUGCAGCCAGUGGGAAGCCAGCCCCCCAUGGCACCAUAAUCGUAAGACCAUUUGGCAUCCCACAUGCCCUGAGCACUGACCAAGCUGCCCCAGAGGCUGGGAAAAGCCUCAGGCAGAGCCACCAAUGUUUGCAAAAGGCAGAGCUCAGUGCCUGGAAGCCAGGGAGGAGAUGCUGGCUGGUACCCUGCAGGAAGAGAAAAGAAAGAAAGAUAUGGUAAUCCUAGUAUAUUAUAGAGCACAUAAUAAAAACAUAUUGCCUAGUGCCCUGGAUCACAGAGAGAGGCCUUGGGGAGCUGGCUUGGUUCUGCAUGUUAACUGAGCAUCUAGUAUACACUGGGCAGUGUGUGGGAAGACAAAGAUGCUGAGGGCCAGUCCUCCCCCUGUUGGAGCUCACAGUCCAGUGACAAGUGCAAACAUUUAUCCCAUGACGGGAGGCAGUGUGGUGCACUGUUGCCACUAACCACUCUGAACUUCAGACUCUUCAUCAUAAACUAGAGAUACCUCUGGUUCCUCUUAGAAUCAUUGGGAGGACUCUAGGAGAUCCCUCUAGAAUCACCGGGAGAAUGCAUGGGAGAUCCUCAAGUGCUUCUCUCAUGCGUUCACAUAUAGUAAACAUUCAGUGUGCUUCAGCCAUCGUUCAAGCUGUUGGAACUGCAGCAGAGAAAUAUACAUGGUCUAGGGGAAAAUAAGGGCCGGAGGGACUAAAUCAAUGGCGGGGAGUGGGAGGAGAUGGAUGUCAGAGAAGGCUUCUCGGAAGAUCUCUGCCUCGGUGCAGAGAAGGAAUUAUAGAUCCCGAUCAGCAGCAAAUGGGUACAUGUUCUGUGUUUUCCUUUGGAUUUUACAGACAGUGGUGAUUGCGGUUGGUUAAUGGUUAAACAUCCUGUAAGCAUUUCUACUGGGCCAGUUACCGUGGGGAAGGUUAGGAUUAAGGAGAACUUUAGAGCGAUUUGCCUAACAAUAGCAGCCUUCUUAUCUCCCCACCUUUGAAAAUUCCCACCAUUUAUUGGAGCCUGUUCGGUUUUUCACCUGAGCUGAAGGCUGGGAGUGGGAGGGCCUCUCGAGCAAAUCCACAGCUGCGGAACAAUAGGCCAGGACAGCUUUAUCUGUAAGGCCAAUACCAAGAGAACCAGAGAAGCCGAAAAGAGAUAGCUUUGAAUCCCACAAGGCAAGAGAGCACUGAGCCUUUAUUUCCCAGGGGAUUUUAUUUAGCUGAUUGGCAGAGUCUGGAGACUGGGUGCUUACCCCUGGAAGAACUCAAUAAAGUAUUUUGACCCAGUGCAAAGCCAAAAUACCAUCCUAGGUCAAAGAGCUGGACUUGGAAGCCUGUCCCUCCUGGGAAGCCAACUUGGAAGAGUAUCUUCGAGCAGCCAGACACCAUAGGAAAAUAUUUCUGUAGAUGAAUCUGCUGUGGGUGAGUGUCCUAUCCACGGGCCUUUCUUCGUUUGGUCCCUGUGGCCUGCAGCUGUCGGGGAGCUCAGUGGACAUGGGAUGACAGGAGCAGGCACCAUUGGACUGACAUUGAAAACGCUUUAACAAUUGAUGUCUGAGGGUGACCCCCUGAAAAGAUGACCGUGAGCUGCCAGAAUGUGGAACCACAGUACUGGAGUGAUAGCCCAGGGGAAAAUAAAUGCCAUUUUCAUUCCAGAGAAUAUUACUGAGGUGCCUGCAAAGUUCAAUUUUUCUUUCCAAGCCUUUUAUUCAACCUAAGGGCCAGGUUCAGGCACAGAAGGACCAGCUAUGAGCUUUAGCUUCGAUUUGGUCUUAAUGCAAGUAUAUGUCACCAUCGAGAUUUAUGUAUUUUGUAAUGACCGGAGAACUACAAUGAGAAAGUCCAAGAUCAGCCCUUGUUAAUGGUACGAAUUUCUUCAUCUGAGCGUUUUUGUAAGACACAUAGAUUCCUAUUAUAAUGAGAAUAAAACAAUAAACAUGGAAACAUAUCUGGGAAAGAGGACUCUAUGACUAUUUCGAGACUACAGCUAUUUGCUAUAAAUGAAUUCGUGAAAAUACGAAUAAGCCUCGGCUUUGUGGGGUACUUCUCGCGAGCCAGGCACCUCAGGUACCAGAUCAAUGUAAUUUUGUAACAACUCCGUGAUGUUGUCUGGGAAGGUGGAAUCACCUUCAUUUGAUGCAUGUGGAAACGGAGGCUUGGAGGUUUAAGUAUCAAGGUCUUGUGGUCAAGUCAAUGCCGCCUUAGGAAGUGUUGCCUAAGACUGGAUCCCUGCAGUAAAAUGCAAGACAAAUGAGAUUCAGACAGACCUAAGAUUUCAAAUGGUCUCCACUUCCACUCUCUGAGGUCUCCCCGCCCUCCCUAUUUUUCUUGUGACCCUCCCUGGAGGGAGGGCACAGUGUGAGCAUUCCCUAUUAGCUCCUGGAGAACAACAGCAGUUUCUUAUUGACCUGUCAAUCAUCCUAGAACGCACAGAAUACCAACUCCCAUGCCCAUGGAAACCUGGCAGGUAACGCAGGCCAGUGAGGCCGAUUAUACGUAAUGACUCAAAAGAGAGAGCUUGCCUCAUCCAAAGUAAGCGGUUUCCACCCACUUCCAGCCAGUUGCAGUCCUGUGUGGCCAAAUGGUCUGCUUUUCAAGGGAAGCUGGAGAGUCGCGCCGUGUGAAACAUCCUCAUUUUUUAAUCAUCGGAAAUUCAGAAUUUUAAGAAGUACCACUACGUUGGGUUGAAUUUAGCCAAUGUGCAGCUACCGCUUCCUUAGAGCCUUGCAGAAUUCUUCACAGCUAGUUGACUUUCCAUAAAAGCUUUUGAGUUAAUGAGUGAAUUAAUUACUAAGCAAAGAGCCCAUUUGAAGGCUCAGCCCUUUAGACCCCCCUUUGCUGCCCAUUCACGGUGGUUUGCGCCAGGCAUGUCACUGCCAGCAACAGGAAGCAGAGCACCUUUGAGUCUGACUCUUCAUCAGUCUGUCACUCUGAUAAGCUUGGCAUGCUAAGUUGCUUUGGAUUUUUGCUUGGGCUAAGAUCAUCAAUGUCACCCCCAUCUGAAUUGUAGAACCACAUUAUUGGCUUGAGGAGGUUUGGAAAGUCCCCUGAGUGUAGGGAACUAUACCUUGGUCAGAUUUUUACUCUUCCAGGUCUUUUCUUUUUUUUUUUUUUUUUUUUUUGAGAUGGAGCCUUGCUGUGUCACCCAGGCUAGA